AAAGAGUAGUAUUUACACUUCAGCUAAUUCACAAGAGUAAUAUCUUUAAUGAAAAUAUAAUAAGACAUGGCUAAGAAAUUUUCAGUGUAUUCAAAAGGAAAAUAGAACUUAUGUCCAUAUUAGAGAACUGCAAGGAAAACAAGUGACACUCCUAUGUAGAAUACAAAUAGCAGAGGUAUUAUUAACUAUAAGUCGAACUAAACAAAAUAAAACAAAAAUAAAGUUACUGCCUAUCCCUUAGCUAUGGAUAGUGAACAACAUAUUCCAAACAUUUGAUUAAGCAAUUCAACUUGAUAAAAAUGGAUAGCACAUUACAGCUUCACAAGAACUUUUUAGGAAAAACUUAUAACUCAACCAUUUA
rnacentral:misc_RNA from 1 species